UACGUAGGCAGCGAGCGUUGUUCGGAGUUACUGGGCGUAAAGGGUGUGUAGGCGGUUGUUUAAGUUUGGUGUGAAAUCUCCCGGCUCAACUGGGAGGGUGCGCCGAAUAGUGAAUGACUUGGAGUGCGGGAGAGGAGAGUGGAAUUCCUGGUGUAGCGGUGAAAUGCGUAGAUAUCAGGAGGAACACCGGUGGUGUAGACGGCUCUCUGGACCGUAACUGACGCUGAGACACGAAAGCGUGGGUAGCAAACAGG
rnacentral:rRNA from 1 species